CCUACGGGAGACAGCAGUAGGGAAUCUUCCACAAUGGGCGAAAGCCUGAUGGAGCAACGCCGCGUGGGUGAAGAAGGUCUUCGGAUCGUAAAACCCUGUUGUUAGAGAAGAAAGUGCGCGAGAGUAACUGUUCAUGUGUCGACGGUAUCUAACCAGAAAGCCAAGGGUCACUACGUGCCAGCAGCCGCGGUAAUACGUAGGUGGCAAGCGUUGACCGGAUUUAUUGGGCGUAAAGGGAACGCAGGCGGGCUUAUAAGUCUGAUGUGAAAGCCUUCGGCUUAACCGGGGUAGUGCAUUUGAAACUGGUAGACUUGAGUGCGGGAGAGGUAUGUGGAACGCCUUGUGUAGCGGUGAAAUGCGUAGAUAUAUGGAAGAACACCAGUGGCGAAGGCAGCUCUCUGGUCUGUAACUGACGCUGAGGUUCGAAAGCGUGGGUAGCGAACAGGAUUAGAUACCCUUGUAGUC
rnacentral:rRNA from 1 species